rnacentral:lncRNA from 1 species
GCAAUGCUCCUCCCGCGCAGCUCUUAUCCCCGUAGACUGCGGCCGAGACGGGGAGGGGGAAGCCUCGCCUGGGGGGCGGCAGUGGCCUGGGCGGCUCUCCGGCUGCUGUUGUAUGGCUGCACGUUGGCGCUACCGGACGGGAUGCUGUAUCCCCGAGAGAGCCCGUCGUGGCAGCGCAAGCAGCUGGACGGCCUCUGAAGCUUCCGCGCCGACUUCUCCGACAACCGACGCCGGGGCUUCGAGGAGCAGAGUCAGGCCCCACCGUGGACAUGCCGGUUCCCUCCAGCUUCAACGACAUCGGCCAGGGCUGGCGGCUGCGGCAUUUUGUCAGCUGGUUGUGGUAUGAACGGGAGGUGACCCUGCUGGAGCGAUGGAUCCAGGACCUGUGCACAAGAGUGGUGCUGAGGAUUGGCAGUGCCCACUUCUAUGCCAUCGUGGACUGCUGUGGUCUCUGCUUCUAUACACGACACCCCCCACCUACAUCGAUGACGUCACCGUCACCACCGGCGUGAAGCGAGACAGUGGUGAGGGCUUCUGGACUGGAUGGAGGACCUGAAGACGUGAGGUGGAGGCACAGGUAGAAGAGAAGAUUCUCACCAUCGCUGAUUCACACAAAAGC